UACGUAGGGAGCAAGCGUUGUCCGGAAUCAUUGGGCGUAAAGCGCGCGUAGGUGGCUUCGUAAGUCCGUUGUGAAAGUCAAAGGCUCAACCUUUGAAAGCCGAUGGAUACUGUGAAGCUAGAGUACGGAAGAGGCGAGUGGAAUUCCUGGUGUAGCGGUGGAAUGCGCAGAUAUCAGGAGGAACGCCAAUGGCGAAGGCAAGUCUCUGGACAGUUCCUGACGCUCAUGCACGAAGGCCAGGGGAGCAAACGGG
rnacentral:rRNA from 1 species